AACUACUUAAUAUAAUAAUUAUACCUUACUUCCAAUAAGGAAAUCCUCCUUGGAGUAGUUA
rnacentral:tRNA from 1 species